GAGAGAGUUGAAAGUUUUGUACGAUCGAUAACAUUACUGGUUAUCAAAGUGAGAACGAGGGAUUAUUUGUUUUCAGAGUUUUAUUGUUUGUGUUUUAAUCCUGGUAAAACGGGAGAGUGGGUGUUGUUUUGGAGCUGGUUAAAUCGGCCAUGAAAACUCUAUCGAAGCGGAGGUAACGUUAUAUCAUGUCAUAGCAUGUGCGAACUGUUACCCUAUAGCCAUGUGCGAAUUGCUAUGUUAUAGAUAAAAACCCCAUUUUGCCACCGAGUUUCUGAUGUGCAUCGGAUGCUGCUGACAUUGUUGCGACAGUAGAUGUGCUCAGGAUUCGCGCUGUAGGCCGGGGGUGUCUGUCUUUUGCACGUGGAUGAGACGGAGCUUCAGGACGGGUUUCUUCAUUGCGUAUUUCGCCGGAUGGAACAGUUUGGAUAGACGGUCACUAUAAUCUUUCUGUUACCAAGGAAUCGUGAGUACAGACAAUAUUCAGUGGAAAACAUUUCAACUGAGCUCCAACAAGCGCGCCAACGCUGUGGUACCACCAAAAACAAAACACAAACCCCGGGGUAUUGUUCAGUCAUUUCAUGUUAAUUGUGAUGAUGUGUUAAAAAGAUAACUCACACAGUUCUGAAAAUGAAUAUAAAUACGUUUCAAGUUUAACAUUCAA